rnacentral:lncRNA from 1 species
CCCCCGGGCCGAACGAGCGGGGCUGGAUCGCCGCAGGCGCUCCGGGGUUGGAGCUGAGUCCGGCGCUGCCGCUCCUGUUCCGGCCGCUCCCGCUGUGGGACCACAGUCCGCCGGGGCUCAGUCCUGCUCCAGCUGCUCAUCCGACACCUGUUGGGUGAGACUUGACACUAUUCCUGCUCUCCCCUACUUUCUAUGUGCCUUGCACUCUCCAAUGGAAAAAGCUGUGAGUUUAAAAAGCCAGUGAAAACUGUUUGCUCUUUAUUUCCAGAGGACAGGAGGUUCUGAGUUGGAAACAGCCAUGAGGAUCAUCAAGUCAAGCCAGGGGCUGCUCUGAACAGGCACCUGGAGAUGCUUCAGCCCAGACAGACCCCACCCACACCCCAAAAAUACCCCAAGGAACAGCUGGCAUUACCUGGGAAUGUUGGCACCGUGCAUUUGCGGAGAGGCUUAGGCAGCAAUUCCCAGUGCUGACCUCCUGGAGCUCCCACACACCCCCAGGUCAGCCAGGCUUCCCUGCAGUGUUAUGGAGUUCUCUGUGCCUGAACUGGUUCUGUCACACUGACCCCCUGAGAGUGGCAGCACACAAUGUGCUAAUGAUACCAGCACUAAAAUCCUACCUGGCAGCUGCUGUGACUACAAGGAGAGACAGAUCUACUUGAGCAACCCACCUUAAAGAGUCUUGCAUGGGGCUGAAUUCAGUACAGGGGAACUGUCUGAGGCACUCCAUCCUCAGGAUUUCCACCACCACCAGGUGUGGGUGGUACUUUCUAAUUCUUUUCUGAUACCAAUACAGAGAAAGCAUCACAAUGGCCUUACAGAACUAACUGGUCUCUUAGACACAGUGUGAGCAAAUUACAGGACCUUGCAAAAUACCUCCUCUGUCAUAGGCCCUUUCCUUGAUACACCUUCUAUCCCAUUGCAAGCACAAGUUUUGGUUUCCCCUCCUCUCCAUAGACUGGGUUAUCCAGCUGUCUAAAUAAUCAAUUCCAAAGCUUUGCCCCCCAGCCUCUGCUCUGCACCACCUUCCGUGCCUUAAAUACAGCAGAUUCAUGACCUCCCCCAGCAGCUCAGAAGCCCCAGUUCUUAGUGAUCUCUGGGGAAGUUGUUCAGGGUUGUGACACA